UUUUCAUUUAUCUCUCUUUUGAUUUUGGAUGCUAGACUAAUUUGAUUGAUUUACAACAGAUCUUGCUUCUUGAGCUCCUUUCCUUGUGUCAGGGAAUUAAAGAUUUUUUCCUCCUUUUUUCCUGCCUCUUUCCUACCGUCCUCGUGUACUGCAUUGCCCUUAUCUUUAGAAGUCACUUUAGCCCCUUCUCUCUCUAUUAUCUGCUAGUUAAUAGCACUUUUAGUAGUCCUUUGUUCACUCUCUCUAGUCCUGCUUGUCUUCUUGCCUCCAUGGUGAUUAGUGGUCUGGCUGGGUUGGUUCCUAGCUUCACGGAGUAUUUGGGUAUGUUAGGGUUCUAGCAUGUCAUGGCUGUGGAUCUACUACAGGCCCUUCUCUCAUGCCCUAUGAUGCUGCAUUGAAACAGUAACAAUCUUGUAAUCUCUCAAUAUUUGAUUUUGAGGCUUAUCCACAUUUCUAGAUGGGGUCUCUUGAGAGCCAGAAUCCUGUUUGGAGGGGCCUUGAAAUGUCUAUUGUGGUUUUGAAUCUCAAAACUUUCCUCAUGAGAGUGUUGUCUAUGACAGGAUCAUCCACUUCCUUGACAAUUCCUAUUAAAUCUACAAUUUCAGAGACUACUUCCAGGUUCAUGUUUUCCUCUGGCACUCCAUGUACUUGAAUCCAAAAAGCCAUGAAGUCGUGGUUUAUCUCCUCUAAAGCGUCCCCUCGGUGACCAUCUUUGUAAGUUGAUGAGAUUUUCUUUUAUGCACCAAGGACCAUUGUCUAGGGUUUGCAUUCAUCUCCUUUUGUCGCUAAAGCUGAUUAGGACUUUGUUCCUACCCACUUCAAAAAUGGCUACUCCUUCUGAGUUUCCCCACAUGCCCAAAAGGACAUUCUUGCAAAUCUUGAAUUUUAUUUCUUUUUCUGUGAUGACUAUUCCAACCAUGUUGCAAUGGUCUAGGUUGAGGCCUUGGUUUCUCUUAGGCUUUAUGCUUAUGAUUUUGCCCUCAAUGGGCUCCAUUCCCAUAUUUGUCGCUAUAAUGUCCUGGUAAUUCAACUUCAGUUCAAUAGUUGAUAUGAUUUGUGUGUGGUUGAUUUCUAAUGCAGGUUAACUUGUGAUGAGAUACGGGUUUCCUCGACUUGGGAGAGGAUAAGGCUGUUUUGUAGAUGUGGUUGGCGAAAAUGGUUAAAAAGAUGUUUAGUUGUGCUAUGCAAGGUUAUAGUUUAAGAGUAUUUUGCUGCUUAGUGAUAAAAUAUGUAGGAUUGGACUCGGGAAGGGUAAAAAUUAAUGGUUAGGUUGUUGCUAGUAGAAGUUAUAUAAUGUAUGGUAGAACUGUUGAAAGCAGUGGAGUAGCUGGUUUAAUUUUCUGUGUGCUCUAUUGUUAGUUAAGUGAUUGGGUUAGAAUGGUUAAAAGAGCUUGGUCAGGGUUAAAGGUUAGCAAAGGUUGCAGGUUUGCUGAGUUAUUUAGAAAAGUGGUUUAAGGGGAUGUUUGAUGGUUAUGCUUAGUGAUAUCAAAGCUUGAAUGAACAGGGUGUUAUGAUCGGAGACUGCUUGAUUUGAAAUUGUGUUUUGCACUUCAAAUGUGGUUUGUAAUGGAGACAACUCUCUCACUUACUAGAACCAAAGUUCUCAAGAACCUCUUCGUUGAGAGAAAAUUUUUUCCAAUUGAAAGAAACUUAACAAACGUAAGGUGUCUUUGCUUAAUACAUCUGGGUAGAG
rnacentral:lncRNA from 1 species